UUGGACAUCAAACAAGAGAAGAAGGACCUUUAAUGAAAUAACUUACAUUUUUUCUACCAAUAUCCCAUCAGCCGAAACUACUCUCUCUCCCCACUCCUCCAACACUCUGGAAUAUAAAACAGAUUUAUGAGUAACCACCACUCUGUUAGGUGCACUUUGAAUUUAGUUCUUUCAAAGAGAAACGGGAAUGGGACUGUAGCCACCUCAAGAAAUGAUACUGGCAAAAGACACAUUUGGUAUUCCUAUUUUAUUGCCACAAUAUGCUGAAUUUUGUCUAUAUUAAGGAAAAGGUUUCAGCCAACAACCUGCGUCAACAACCACACAUGUGAGGAAAGAUGUCUUCUGAAGAUUCCAGCCUCCAGCCAGCAAGCCUUUCCAAGUAUAACCCUAGGACACAAAUCAAAAUUACUCAGAAUUUGAAGAGCCAGGAAAAUAUCAACUUGAGUGGGAAAAGGCAAUCAACAUAUGCCCUUUAUUGUGCAAAACUCGGGUAACAGGUAAACAAGAUUAACAGGGACCGCUAGGAUCAAGAAAUGGAAGAUGCCUCCCUACAUACAUCUGAGAUGAAUCCACAAAGAUAUCAAUGCCUCAAGAGCCUUGCCGAAUUCCACCUGCUGUCCUGGGAUCUCCGCCUUCCCCAUAGAACCAAGCGUGGGCUAGUCCCCUGGAGGAUGAGAUCUCACAUAGUCCAUAAUCAAAUGGGUCUCCUUCCUAGCCAGUAAUACUGCAGACAAACGAGAGUUCCAGCAAACGUCAUCGUAAUGAAGAGAUCCCAUCCUUCAUGGUCACACUCACAGCAAUAUUUCAUCUACUCCUCUCUCCUUCAUCUGUUGUCUGUCUUUUCCGUGACUUUUCCUUCAACCUUCCUGUUUUUGAAUGCAUUUUGAUGUUAUCAUAUAGCAUAAUAGCUCUAUGUCUCCUUCACUCUAUAUAAAGCUCUUCAGCAACGGGAAA
ensembl:lncRNA novel transcript